GAUGAACGCUAGCGGCAGGCUUAAUACAUGCAAGUCGUACGGGAUCCGAGGUAGCAAUAUCUUGGUGAGAGUGGCGCACGGGUGCGUAACACGUAUGCAACCUACCUUUAACCGGGACACAACCUCGAGAAAUUGAGGCUAAUAUCCCAUAACACUGCGAAGUGGCAUCACUAUGCAGUUAAAACUCCGGUGGUUAUUGAUGGGCAUGCGCGACAUUAGCUAGUUGGUGAGGUAACGGCCCACCAAGGCUACGAUGUCUAGGGGUUCUGAGAGGAUGAUCAGCCACACUGGAACUGACACACGGUCCAGACUCCUACGGGUGCAG
rnacentral:rRNA from 1 species